rnacentral:rRNA from 1 species
CCUACGGGAGGCUGCAGUGAGGAAUAUUGGUCAAUGGACGAGAGUCUGAACCAGCCAAGUAGCGUGAAGGAUGACUGCCCUAUGGGUUGUAAACUUCGUUUAUAUGGGAAUAAAACGUUCCACGUGUGGGAUUUUGUAUGUACCAUAUGAAUAAGGAUCGGCUAACUCCGUGCCAGCAGCCGCGGUAAUACGGAGGAUCCGAGCGUUAUCCGGAUUUAUUGGGUUUAAAGGGAGCGUAGGUGGAUUGUUAAGUCAGUUGUGAAAGUUUGCGGCUCAACCGUAAAAUUGCAGUUGAAACUGGCAGUCUUGAGUACAGUAGAGGUGGGCGGAAUUCGUGGUGUAGCGGUGAAAUGCUUAGAUAUCACGAAGAACUCCGAUUGCGAAGGCAGUUCACUGGACUGCAACUGACACUGAGGCUCGAAAGUGUGGGUAUCAAACAGGAUUAGAUACCCGUGUAGUC